AUUGAACGCUGGCGGAAUGCUUUACACAUGCAAGUCGAACGGCAGCACGGACUUCGGUCUGGUGGCGAGUGGCGAACGGGUGAGUAAUAUAUCGGAACGUGCCCAGUCGUGGGGGAUAACGUAGCGAAAGCUACGCUAAUACCGCAUACGAUCUACGGAUGAAAGCGGGGGAUCGCAAGACCUCGCGCGAUUGGAGCGGCCGAUAUCAGAUUAGGUAGUUGGUGAGGUAAAGGCUCACCAAGCCGACGAUCUGUAGCUGGUCUGAGAGGACGACCAGCCACACUGGGACUGAGACACGGCCCAGACUCCUACGGGAGGCAGCAGUGGGGAAUUUUGGACAAUGGGGGCAACCCUGAUCCAGCAAUGCCGCGUGAGUGAAGAAGGCCUUCGGGUUGUAAAGCUCUUUUGUCAGGGAAGAAACAGCAGCUCUAACACAGUCUGCGAAUGACGGUACCUGAAGAAUAAGCACCGGCUAACUACGUGCCAGCAGCCGCCGUAA
rnacentral:rRNA from 1 species